UCCUUGAGAGAAGCCCCUAGAGCACAACUCCUCACCAUGGACUGGACCUGGAGGAUCCUCUUCUUGGUGGCAGCAGCAACAGGUGUCCACUCCCAGGUGCAACUGGUGCAGUCUGGGGCUGAGGUGAAGAAGCCUGGGGCCUCAGUGUAGAUCUCCUGCAAGGCUUCUGGAUACACCUUUACCAGCUACUAUAUGAACUGGGUGUGACAGGCCCCUGGACAAGGGCUUGAGUGGAUGGGACGGAUCGACCCUGGUAAUGGUAACACAAACUAUGCACAGAAGUUCCAGGGCAGAGUCAGCAUGACCAGUGACACGUCCACGAGCACAGCCUACAUGGAGCUAAGCAGCCUGAGACCUGAGGACACGGCCGUGUAUUACUGUGGGAGAGACACAGUGUGA